rnacentral:rRNA from 1 species
UACAGAGGUGGCAAGCGUUGUUCGGAAUUACUGGGCGUAAAGGGCGCGUAGGCGGCCCGUCAAGUCCCGUGUGAAAGCCCCCGGCUCAACCGGGGAACUGCACGGGAAACUAGCAGGCUUGAGUUCGGGAGAGGGAAGCGGAAUUUCGGGUGUAGCGGUGAAAUGCGCAGAUAUCCGAAGGAACACCGGCGGCGAAGGCGGCUUCCUGGACCGACACUGACGCUGAGGCGCGAAAGCUGGGGGAGCAAACGGG